rnacentral:tRNA from 1 species
GGGCGGUUAGCUCAGUUGGUUAGAGCACCUGCCUUACAAGCAGGGGGUCGCAGGUUCGAGCCCUGCACCGCCCA